GGGUUGUGAGGUUAAGCGACUAAGCGUACACGGUGGAUGCCCUGGCAGUCAGAGGCGAUGAAGGACGUGCUAAUCUGCGAAAAGCGCCGGCGAGGUGAUAUGAACCUUUGACCCGGCGAUGUCCGAAUGGGGAAACCCAGUGCAAUCCGUUGCACUAUCGUUUGAUGAAUACAUAGUCAAACGAGGCGAACCGGGGGAACUGAAACAUCUAAGUACCCCGAGGAAAAGAAAUCAACCGAGAUUCCCCCAGUAGCGGCGAGCGAACGGGGAGCAGCCCAGAGCCUGAAUCAGCUUGUGUGUUAGUGGAACGGUCUGGAAAGUCCGGCGAUACAGGGUGACAGCCCCGUACACGAAAGCACACAGGUUGUGAGCUCGAUGAGUAGGGCGGGACACGUGGUAUCCUGUCUGAAUAUGGGGGGACCAUCCUCCAAGGCUAAAUACUCCUGACUGACCGAUAGUGAACCAGUACCGUGAGGGAAAGGCGAAAAGAACCCCGGCGAGGGGAGUGAAAAAGAACCUGAAACCGUGUACGUACAAGCAGUGGGAGCCUCUUAAUGGGGUGACUGCGUACCUUUUGUAUAAUGGGUCAGCGACUUAUAUUCUGUAGCAAGGUUAACCGAAUAGGGGAGCCGAAGGGAAACCGAGUCUUAACUGGGCGUUAAGUUGCAGGGUAUAGACCCGAAACCCGGUGAUCUAGCCAUGGGCAGGUUGAAGGUUGGGUAACACUAACUGGAGGACCGAACCGACUAAUGUUGAAAAAUUAGCGGAUGACUUGUGGCUGGGGGUGAAAGGCCAAUCAAACCGGGAGAUAGCUGGUUCUCCCCGAAAGCUAUUUAGGUAGCGCCUCGUGAAUUCAUCUCCGGGGGUAGAGCACUGUUUCGGCUAGGGGGCCAUCCCGGCUUACCAACCCGAUGCAAACUACGAAUACCGGAGAAUGUUAUCACGGGAGACACACGGCGGGUGCUAACGUCCGUCGUGAAGAGGGAAACAACCCAGACCGCCAGCUAAGGUCCCAAAGUCAUGGUUAAGUGGGAAACGAUGUGGGAAGGCACAGACAGCCAGGAUGUUGGCUUAGAAGCAGCCAUCAUUUAAAGAAAGCGUAAUAGCUCACUGGUCGAGUCGGCCUGCGCGGAAGAUGUAACGGGGCUAAACCAUGCACCGAAGCUGCGGCAGCGACACUUAAGUGUUGUUGGGUAGGGGAGCGUUCUGUAAGCCUGCGAAGGUGUGCUGUGAGGCAUGCUGGAGGUAUCAGAAGUGCGAAUGCUGACAUAAGUAACGAUAAAGCGGGUGAAAAGCCCGCUCGCCGGAAGACCAAGGGUUCCUGUCCAACGUUAAUCGGGGCAGGGUGAGUCGACCCCUAAGGCGAGGCCGAAAGGCGUAGUCGAUGGGAAACAGGUUAAUAUUCCUGUACUUGGUGUUACUGCGAAGGGGGGACGGAGAAGGCUAUGUUAGCCGGGCGACGGUUGUCCCGGUUUAAGCAUGUAGGCUGGUUAUCCAGGCAAAUCCGGAUAAUCAAGGCUGAGGUGUGAUGACGAGUCACUACGGUGAUGAAGUAACAAAUGCCCUGCUUCCAGGAAAAGCCUCUAAGCAUCAGGUAACACGAAAUCGUACCCCAAACCGACACAGGUGGUCAGGUAGAGAAUACCAAGGCGCUUGAGAGAACUCGGGUGAAGGAACUAGGCAAAAUGGUGCCGUAACUUCGGGAGAAGGCACGCUGAUAUGUAGGUGAAGCCCCUGCGGGUGGAGCUGAAAUCAGUCGAAGAUACCAGCUGGCUGCAACUGUUUAUUAAAAACACAGCACUGUGCAAACACGAAAGUGGACGUAUACGGUGUGACGCCUGCCCGGUGCCGGAAGGUUAAUUGAUGGGGUUAUCCGUAAGGAGAAGCUCUUGAUCGAAGCCCCGGUAAACGGCGGCCGUAACUAUAACGGUCCUAAGGUAGCGAAAUUCCUUGUCGGGUAAGUUCCGACCUGCACGAAUGGCGUAAUGAUGGCCAGGCUGUCUCCACCCGAGACUCAGUGAAAUUGAACUCGCUGUGAAGAUGCAGUGUACCCGCGGCAAGACGGAAAGACCCCGUGAACCUUUACUAUAGCUUGACACUGAACAUUGAGCCUUGAUGUGUAGGAUAGGUGGGAGGCUUUGAAGCGUGGACGCCAGUCUGCGUGGAGCCAACCUUGAAAUACCACCCUUUAAUGUUUGAUGUUCUAACGUGGACCCGUGAUCCGGGUUGCGGACAGUGUCUGGUGGGUAGUUUGACUGGGGCGGUCUCCUCCCAAAGAGUAACGGAGGAGCACGAAGGUUGGCUAAUCCUGGUCGGACAUCAGGAGGUUAGUGCAAUGGCAUAAGCCAGCUUGACUGCGAGCGUGACGGCGCGAGCAGGUGCGAAAGCAGGUCAUAGUGAUCCGGUGGUUCUGAAUGGAAGGGCCAUCGCUCAACGGAUAAAAGGUACUCCGGGGAUAACAGGCUGAUACCGCCCAAGAGUUCAUAUCGACGGCGGUGUUUGGCACCUCGAUGUCGGCUCAUCACAUCCUGGGGCUGAAGUAGGUCCCAAGGGUAUGGCUGUUCGCCAUUUAAAGUGGUACGCGAGCUGGGUUUAGAACGUCGUGAGACAGUUCGGUCCCUAUCUGCCGUGGGCGCUGGAGAAUUGAGGGGGGCUGCUCCUAGUACGAGAGGACCGGAGUGGACGCAUCACUGGUGUUCGGGUUGUCAUGCCAAUGGCACUGCCCGGUAGCUACAUGCGGAAGAGAUAAGUGCUGAAAGCAUCUAAGCACGAAACUUGCCCCGAGAUGAGUUCUCCCUUGUCCUUUAAGGACACUAAAGGAACGUUGAAGACGACGACGUUGAUAGGCCGGGUGUGUAAGCGCAGCGAUGCGUUGAGCUAACCGGUACUAAUGAACCGUGAGGCUUAACCUUACAACGCCGAAG
rnacentral:rRNA from 1 species